rnacentral:rRNA from 1 species
GAUUAACGCUGGCGGCGUGCAUAACACAUGCAAGUCGAACGAUGAAACUUUAAUGAACCCUUCGGGGAGAAUUAAAGCGGAUUAGUGGCGAACGGGUGAGUAACGCGUGAGUAACCUGCCUUACACAAGGGGAUAGCCUUUGGAAACGAAGAAUAAUACCCUAUAAAACCAUAAAAGCACAUGCAAUUAUGGUCAAAGUGAUAGCGGUGUAAGAUGGACUUGCGUCUGAUUAGCUAGUUGGUGAGAUAAAAGCCCACCAAGGCAACGAUCAGUAGCCGGCAUGAGAGAGUGAACGGCAACAUUGGAACUGGGACACGGCCCAGACUCCUACGAGAGGCAGCAGUGGAGAAAUUUGCACAAUGGGGGAGACGCUGAUGCAGCGACGCCGCGUGAUUUAGAAGGCCUUCAGGUUGUAAAAAUCUUUUGUAUAGGAAGAAAAUGACAGUACUAUACGAAUAAGGUCCGGCUAAUUACGUG